rnacentral:lncRNA from 1 species
GCACGGCCGGGACGUGGGGCAGCGUUCCCGUAGCGUUGCCUUUCCUCGAGUUGGUAAGACGCGUUGGCAGGGUGCGGUGACAAACGUUAAGUGGGAGACCGCGCUGUUGGCUGGGGCAAGAGUCGAUGAACUCUGCGUUGCCCGCCUUAGAAGCGGGCAGAUGGCGGGUGUCCGGGCUGAACCUCCGGCCACGGCGCUGCGCGCUGGGUUCCCUCGUGACGAGCCCGGCCAGCUGGAGGGAGCGACUGUGAGCCAGGAGUUGCUGGCUUUUGCUCUGCGUGCUGGUGCUGGACAAAGGUGCUGCUGA